UACGGGGGGGGUAAGCGUUGUUCGGAAUUACUGGGCGUAAAGGGCUCGUAGGCGGCCAACUAAGUCAUACGUGAAAUCCCUCAGCUUAACUGGGGAACUGCGUGUGAUACUGGAUGGCUUGGAUUUGGGAGAGGGAUGCGGAAUUCCAGGUGUAGCGGUGAAAUGCGUAGAUAUCUGGAGGAACACCGGUGGCGAAGGCGGCAUCCUGGACCGAGACUGACGCUGAGGAGCGAAAGCCAGGGGAGCAAACGGG
rnacentral:rRNA from 1 species